rnacentral:rRNA from 1 species
CCCUUAGAUGUUCUGGGCCGCACGCGUGCUACACUGAGUGGAUCAGCGGGUCAGGUUGCGCGAAAACGUUUCCUAAUCUUUAAAUCCGCUCGUGAUGGGGAUUGACGGUUGCAAUUUUCUGUCAUGAACGAGGAAUACCUUGUAAGCGCGGGUCAUCAUCCCGCGCUGAAUACGUCCCUGCCCUUUGUACACACCGCCCGUCGCUCCUACCGAUUGAGUGGUCCGGUGAGGCUUUGGGAUCUGAGCGGAAAGAGCGUUUCGCUGUUUCUGCUCGGAAAACUCAGUCGAACCUUAUCAUUUAGAGGAAGGAGAAGUCGUAGCA